GUAAGAAAAAGCAAACUCAAACGCGGGUUGUUGUUCUUCCUCUCUCUCCCUCUCUCUCUCUCUCGGCGGCGCCUUCUCUCUCCCAAACUCGCAGGUAAAGCUUCCUCCGAUUUCAAUAUUCCUCUUGCAUACCUUCCCCUCUGCUUUCGUUUCUCACCUCAGCCCUUCUCCUUCUCCUCAAGGUUUGUGUCGAUCUCGAAGCUCAGAGAGAUUCCAAUGACCUAAUUGACUCAGUUCUCGUAAAAAAAAAACCUCCAAAUUUCUCAGAGAUUCUAUCCACUCGUUGCGUCAGAUUCUCCUCUCUGACGCAAAAACCCCUAAUUUCGUGGGGCCUUUUGCUUUGCUCACUCUCCGAAUCGAACGAAGCUGUCUUCUGAAAAUUAGGGUUUCUAAUUUGAGCUGUAUCUGUCAGAAUAAAACCAGGGAAGUGAGGGAAGGAGGAUUCAAUCGAGGACAAUCAAGGCGUGAAAUUAGGGUUUUUGAAAGCAUAUGUAUGGCUUCAGAGCCUGUUAACGGAGAAGGAACCGAUGGGGCGAGAGAGAAGCAAAAGAUUAAAGUUUAUACGAGAAAAGGUAAAGGUCAGAGGAAACUGUCUCCGUUCUUCGCCUUUGACGGUGAUAGCCGCGAGAAACCAGAGGGGGAUUCAGAAAACAAUCGUCAGAGUCCUCCUCAAACUCUAGCUCAAGAGUCUCAGAAGAGUCCUGUGUCCAGUGUAGCUACUGAAGCACCUUCUGAGAAGGUGAUUGACAAGCCUCUUGUGGAAGCAUUGACUCAAGCAGAACCUCAGGAUGAUGCUAGUUUGGCCCCUACUGAUAAGAACGUUAUUCAACCUGUCUCUGAUCCUUUGGGUCAAGAAGAUGUGAACACUGUUACAGGAGACAAGUCUGUGGAAGUACCUUCUCAAAGCAAUACAGGUCAAGAUGAUGUCAAUACAGUGGUUGUUUAUGAGAACUCUAUCAAGGAAAGCCUUGCUCAAGAAGAUGUUACUGCCAUGAUUGUUGACAAGAAGGCUAUUGAAGCACCUUCUCAGACCAUAUCCGCGGGAGAUGCCAAUACUGUUGUUGUUGACAAGAAUCCCAUUGAAGUGUCUUCUGAUGAAGAUGUCCACGUGGUAGAUGCAGAUAACCUAAUAAAAGAAUCUCAAAGAGAUGCCCCUGAUGCCCAGCAGCCAGCAGGGGUUACAUCUGAUUCUGCUCAGAGCAUCCACGCUACUGCUACCGAAAGCAUGCCAAUGGAGAAGGACGUAGAUGGACGCAUAAAGAUGCAUGUACCCUCCAAGUCAAAGCAAGAGAAAGAGGAGAUCAGGAAAAAGCUUGAAGACCAGCUUAACGUGGUCAGAGAUCUGGUAAAGAAGAUAGAGGACAAAGAGGGGGAGAUUGGUGCGUAUAACGACUCUCGCCUUUUGGCUAGCACUGAUAUUAAUAACGGAGGAGGAAGGAUCCUUCCAGGGUUGGCAUCUGGUGGACUUCCGCGUGAGGUCAUUAGAACACCAAGGCAUUUAAAUCAACUAAGUAUAUCAGUGUUGGAGAAUACUCAAGGAGUCAAUGAGCAUGUGGAGAAAGAGAAGAGAACACCCAAGGCAAAUCAGUUUUAUAGAACUUCGGAGUUUUUACUUGGUGACAAGCUGCCACCCGCAGAGAGUAACAAGAAAUCAAAAUCAAGCGCAAAGAAGCACGGAGGGGAGGCUGGGCAUGGUUUUAGUGCAGGCUCUAAAGUUUUCAAGAAUUGCAGUGCUCUACUAGAGAGGCUGAUGAAGCAUAAACAUGGUUGGGUGUUCAAUGCUCCUGUAGAUGUGAAGGGUCUUGGUUUGCAUGAUUACUUCGCCAUUAUCGAACACCCUAUGGAUUUGGGAACGGUCAAGUCUGCGUUGGCAAAUAAUCUGUACAAGUCGCCAAGAGAGUUUGCAGAGGAUGUUAGGCUUACUUUCCACAAUGCCAUGACAUACAACCCACCAGGACAAGAUGUCCAUAUAAUGGCGGAAGUGCUGUUACAGAUGUUUGAGGAGAGGUGGGCUGUGAUAGAGGCAGAUUAUAAUCGUCAGCUGAGAUUUGCCGCUGGUUAUGAGAUGAAUCUUCCAGCUUCUACAAUGAGGUCUAGAUUGGGUCCUACAAUGCCGCCGCCGCCCAUCAGUGUGAGUAAUACAAUGGACUGGAGUGGUCUCCCUUCUGACUUGCAGCACCCAAAACCAACAACAACGCCUGGCAGAACACCGACCAGUGCAAGGACCCCUGCUCUGAAGAAGCCAAAGGCGAACGAACCGAAUAAAAGAGAUAUGACGUAUGAAGAGAAGCAGAAGCUUAGUGGCCAGUUGCAGAAUCUGCCUCCAGAGAAACUAGAUGCGAUUGUGCAGAUUGUUAACAAAAGGAACACUGCUGUGAAGCUACGGGAUGAAGAGAUUGAAGUCGAUAUUGAUAGUGUUGAUCCGGAGACCCUGUGGGAGCUGGACAGAUUUGUAACCAACUACAAAAAGGGAUUGAGCAAGAAGAAGAGAAGAGCUGAGCUAGCCAUUCAAGCUAAAGCAGAAGCUGAGAGAAAUAGCCAGAAACAGAUGGCUCCUGCACCGGUGGCACAUGAGUUUUCUAGGGAGGGUGGCAACACAGCUAAAAAGACGCUCCCUACACAAGUACCUUCUCAAGUGGACAAACAAAACAAUGAGACGAGCAGAUCAAGUAGUUCAAGCAGCUCUUCCAGUAGUUCCAGCUCUUCUAGUGAUUCGGACAGCGAUAGCUCUUCGUCAUCUGGAUCAUGAUCAGACCUAGAGAUUACUAUACAAGAGGGCUUGGUGGUGAAAAAUAUGUAAGGGAGUUUAAAAAGAUGGAAGGUAGAGCUAGAAGAGCAUUAGGGAGGUUAAGGAUGAUGUGACGUACUGGCUUGAGGCGGUAAUAUUGGAGUGGUUUGGGGUGAUGGAAGGAAAGACUGUAUUAUAUACAUAUGACUGUUAGUAAAAAGAAAAAUCUAUUCUUAAUUUAUUUAUUUCGCUUUUAGAAUGGGUAGGAUUCUGUAGCGGUGGCUAUCUACGUUUUAGAUGUAACGGUAGGGUUGGUUUGGUUUGUCUCCGCACUUUUGUAUAUCUCUCUGCCUCUGGUCUUUGGCGGCUUUAGUUGGUUGACUGUUUCAUGCUUUUUAGUUUAGGGCUUUUGAAUCAGCAAAAAAAAGCAUCACAACAGAUUAUGGAUUCUUGAUGACUUGUGUGUAUUGUAAGGUUUUUGAAUUUUGUGACCA